UACGUAGGUGGCAAGCGUUGUCCGGAAUUAUUGGGCGUAAAGAGCUUGUAGGCGGUUUGUCGCGUCUGCCGUGAAAAUUCGAGGCUCAACCUCGAACUUGCGGUGGGUACGGGCAGACUAGAGUGUGGUAGGGGAGACUGGAAUUCCUGGUGUAGCGGUGAAAUGCGCAGAUAUCAGGAGGAACACCGAUGGCGAAGGCAGGUCUCUGG
rnacentral:rRNA from 1 species